rfam:Fulmarus glacialis contig102042, whole genome shotgun sequence.
UUGCUGUGAUGACUGUCUUAGGACACCUUUGGAAUACCCAUGAAAAAAAAUCAGAAGUUAUUUCUGAGCAAC